rnacentral:rRNA from 1 species
CCUACGGGAGGCAGCAGUGGGGAAUAUUGGACAAUGGGGGGAACCCUGAUCCAGCCAUGCCGCGUGUGUGAAGAAGGCCCUCGGGUUGUAAAGCACUUUCAGUGAGGAAGAACGCCUGGUGGUUAAUACCCAUCAGGAAAGACAUCACUCACAGAAGAAGCACCGGCUAACUCCGUGCCAGCAGCCGCGGUAAUACGGAGGGUGCGAGCGUUAAUCGGAAUUACUGGGCGUAAAGCGCGCGUAGGUGGCUUGAUAAGCCGGUUGUGAAAGCCCCGGGCUCAACCUGGGAACGGCAUCCGGAACUGUCAAGCUAGAGUGCAGGAGAGGAAGGUAGAAUUCCCGGUGUAGCGGUGAAAUGCGUAGAGAUCGGGAGGAAUACCAGUGGCGAAGGCGGCCUUCUGGACUGACACUGACACUGAGGUGCGAAAGCGUUGGUAGCAAACAGGAUUAGAUACCCCGGUAGUC